CGAACCCAUCUCAGUUAAUAAAAAAAAAUACAAGGUAGAGAUUUGAAUUCGCAGACAGAAAUUUGCAUGCAAAACUCUGUUCGCAAGCAGAAUUUUGAUGCAAUUUGCCUUUCUCGUGCAGGCAGAGUUUCUUCUUUCUCCUGCAUUACUAAUGGUGAAAAGGACAUUCCCGUUCCUAAUUAACCAAAAACUAAUAUGGUUCAAAUCUGACCCAUCUUUUAGAAAAAAGUUUUUGCUUGUCUCCGUCAAUCAAUGUGUUCAUGGGUUUGUGCAUUUUCUUUGGAUUUGAUCCGCACACUGAGUUGCAGGCGCCCGUGUUCGUGGGAUUUGAGUGUUGAGUAACUUUGUUCCUCACGUUUUCUCUUACUUGUCACCAUGUUUCAGUUUCAUAUUCUAUAGUCUCAAAGAACAUACCGACCAUGAAGCCAAUUUUGUAAGGUUCAAAUACUUGUGACUAAAUCUGGAGUCUCUACUUCGAGUGACCAACUAAGUUAUGCAGUGUAGGAUUCAUUUGAUGUGUCAAUUUCAGAAUUUUGAUGCAAAAGGCAGAGUUUUGAAGGUUCGAAUCCGAAAUCAGAGAUUUUUAGCUAAAGGCAAAAGUUAAAGAUUUCAAAUUUAAAGGACAAAAAUUAAAGACCACCCCAAAAUAAAGACGAAGUGGGUCCAACUGAAACCGCAACAAGGUGGGUCCGCCCCUGAUUGUCAACCGGAGUAAACAUGGAUUCAUGGUGGUUCUCCUUAAAGCAUGAAAAAAAAAACAAUUCUUUUGUUGGUAAAACCUAUAUGGGCGGUUGCAAACAUUUUCGUUGGGAAGAUAGCAUUCCCGUGGAUAAAAUGGUGGCGACGAAGUUUCAAAAGCCUCCUGUUGAUAGAGAUACCGCGACCUCACGUAUCACUAGAGAUACCGUACGUGAAGUUUGACUUACAGUUUAAGCUUAUGGAAGCUCAAGAAAAAAUUCACCUUUUAGAGGUGUUGCUUAAAGAAUCCAAAGAAAGGCAAAGUUUCUCAAGGCUAACCUUAGAGACACUCAACAAGAGAAAAAUGCUCUGAAAGAAAAA